UGAGUAACGCGUGGGAACGUACCUUUUGGUUCGGAACAACGCAGGGAAACUUGUGCUAAUACCGGAUAAGCCCUUACGGGGAAAGAUUUAUCGCCGAAAGAUCGGCCCGCGUCUGAUUAGCUAGUUGGUGAGGUAAUGGCUCACCAAGGCGACGAUCAGUAGCUGGUCUGAAAGGAUGAUCAGCCACAUUGGGACUGAGACACGGCCCAAACUCCUACGGGAGGCAGCAGUGGGGAAUAUUGGACAAUGGGCGCAAGCCUGAUCCAGCCAUGCCGCGUGAGUGAUGAAGGCCCUAGGGUUGUAAAGCUCUUUUGUGCGGGAAGAUAAUGACGGUACCGCAAGAAUAAGCCCCGGCUAACUUCGUGCCAGCAGCCGCGGUAAUACGAAGGGGGCUAGCGUUGCUCGGAAUCACUGGGCGUAAAGGGUGCGUAGGCGGGUCUUUAAGUCAGGGGUGAAAUCCUGGAGCUCAACUCCAGAACUGCCUUUGAUACUGACGAUCUUGAGUUCGGGAGAGGUGAGUCGAACUGCGAGUGUAGAGGUGAAAUUCGUAGAUAUUCGCAAGAACACCAGUGGCGAAGGCGGCUCACUGGCCCG
rnacentral:rRNA from 1 species